rnacentral:tRNA from 1 species
GGGAUUGUGGCUUAGUGGUAGAGCACGCGCCUCACACAUGCGAGACCCUGGGUUCGAUCCUUAGCACCA